rnacentral:rRNA from 1 species
UAAGUCGCAGUCCUCAGUCCCAGCUGGCAGUAUUUCUACAGGAUAUAACACUUACCGAGGCAAGCUACAUUCCUGCAGAUUUAUCCUGCCGCCAAAACUGAUGCUGGCCCAGUGAGCUGCGAGAUUCCCCCACCCACAAGGAGCAGAGGGCGCAAAACACCAUGUCUGAUCAAAUGCCCUUCCCUUUCAACAAUUUCACGUACUUUUUCACUCUCUUUUCAAAGUUCUUUUCAUCUUUCCAUCACUGUACUUGUUCGCUAUCGGUCUCUCGCCAAUAUUUAGCUUUAGAUGGAAUUUACCACCCACUUAGAGCUGCAUUCCCAAACAACUCGACUCUUCGAAAGCACUUUACAAAGAACUGGGAUCCUCGCCACACGGGAUUCUCACCCUCUAUGACGUCCUGUUCCAAGGAACAUAGACAAGGACCAGCCCCAAAGUUACCUUCUACAAAUUACAACUCGGGCACCGAAGGUACCAGAUUUCAAAUUUGAGCUUUUGCCGCUUCACUCGCCGUUACUAAGGCAAUCCCGGUUGGUUUCUUUUCCUCCGCUUAUUGAUAUGCUUAAGUUCAGCGGGUAUUCCUACCUGAUUUGAGGUCAAACUUUGAGAGUAUUGUUCGCCGGAUUGCGUAUGCGAAAAGCUCAAACAAACGAUAAAUC